UCUCCCAUGUGACUGCCACGCUCUCUCCUAGUAGAUUCCCGUGGCUCUGCUCCUGGGAUAGGGCAGCAUUGCCAUGGUCUGAAGGGGAGGAUGUGUGUGUGUCCUCCUGUGUGAAAUGGCUAAACAGGAAAAA